AUCUCGACUGCUGGAAUGCAUCGAGAUCGAAAGCUCCGGCGCCUAAGGAUGGGUCUGCGGCCUAUCAGGUAGUAGUGGGUGUAGCGUACCUACUAGCCUACGACGGGUACGGGUUGUGAGAGCAAGAGCCCGGAGAUGGAUUCUGAGACACGAAUCCAGGCCCUACGGGGUGCAGCAGGCGCGAAAACUUUACAAUGCUGGAAACAGCGAUAAGGGGACCUCGAGUGCCAGGUUACAAAUCUGGCUGUCGUGAUGCCUAAAAAGCAUUGCAUAGCAAGGGCCGGGCAAGACCGGUGCCAGCCGCCGCGGUAACACCGGCGGCUCGAGUGGUAACCGUUAUUAUUGGGUCUAAAGGGUCUGUAGCCGGCCGGAUAAGUCUCUUGGGAAAUCCAGCAGCUCAACUGUUGGGCUUUCAGGAGAUACUGUCUGGCUCGAGGCCGGGAGAGGUGAGAGGUACUUCAGGGGUAGGGGUGAAAUCUUGUAAUCCUUGAAGGACCACCAGUGGCGAAGGCGUCUCACCAGAACGGACCUGACGGCAAGGGACGAAAGCUAGGGGCACGAACCGGAUUAGAUACCCGGGUAGUCCUAGCCGUAAACGAUACUCGCUAGGUGUCGGCCACGGUGCGACCGUUGUCGGUGCCGUAGGGAAGCCGUGAAGCGAGCCACCUGGGAAGUACGGCCGCAAGGCUGAAACUUAAAGGAAUUGGCGGGGGAGCACCACAACGGGUGGAGCUUGCGGUUUAAUUGGAU
rnacentral:rRNA from 1 species